ensembl:lncRNA
AGCUGAAGCUUCAGACAGCCGUCAGACAGUGAAACACUGCCAUCUGCUGGACUCGAAUAACAAAGACGCUGCUUUGACGGGUGAGGGAGUUUCAACAAGUCUGCAACAACUCAAGCAUCAAACUACAGAACUAUUAUAGCGGACAUGGUGCUCUAAUGACUGCUUCAUUAACGCAGGUCAGAAAGGAUAAUAGAAACUCAAUAAAUUAUGAAAUACAAAACUUACUGGUUCACUGCACACACAAAACGUCUCUUAUUAGCACAACACUGCUCAGGGCUCAGAGUAUAUUCCUUAUAACCUAUUAAACCUUAGCAUGUUAUUUUGAAGUGUUACAGGUGAAACAGCCAACCAGUGAAGUUACCUGUAAUUUCAACAUUGAGCUACAAAAAUGCUUUUUUUUUUUUUUUUUUUUUUUUAUUUCUUUUUACAGUUUUGCAAUUUUACACAAGUUUUAUCAUCAGUGUCACAAUGACUGCUGCUAAAAUUGAGUAUGAGCUUGUUGUUGGUCUGAUUAAAAGGUUAAAUGUAAAAGCAUAAUUUAAACAUGUGAUGUGAGGUCAUUAAUUACAGUGCAGGUGUCCUGCUUUAGGAUCAUAAAUUAAUACUUCCAAAACAGUAAAGUUGUAGAGAAUCUAUGUUCAUUAUCGUUGCUAAUCAUGGAAAGACAAAGACGUCAGACUCUGCUGAAAAAUAUUACACCCUCCUACUCUCUGCACACAGCGCUCUGAGGGACCUUCCAGGAUCGGGGAUUUUAUUUAUUUUGUUCUUUUUUGGUCUUACUGGUUAGUAGGUGGUGAUUUUGUACCUGGUGAUCUCACAUUUGGAACAUAAAUUGCUUUGGAGCAGAUUAGGUUCAAAGGAUAACUUGGCUCUUGAAGUUAGCCGGAUAAGACAGCGUUCUGCUUCACAGUUGAGGCCUCAGAGAGUUGUUGCUAACCAAAGUCUAUCUUGUACGGCCAUGCAGCAUCUUAUGACAUUUUGUAACCUGAGCAGUGAAAUGAUUGCUGUUUUAGUGCACAUACACAGUGUGGGGAUCAGUAUCAGGACAA